UGUUCCAGGCCCCAUUGGACACUCUGAGCAUUAUAAAGAUGCUCAUGAUAAUUUUUUUCCUACUUGAGAUUAGAGUCUAAUCUGAAGAGAGUUAUGUUAUGCAUACAAUUAAUUGUAAUAAAGGUUGCUAAGAAGAUUUAGAGGAGUGAAAUAAGGCAAACUCACCGAGGAAAUAGAGAACUUACUAGAGGCAGUGACAUUUAAUUUGACUUUAAAAGACAGGUGAACUUGUUUACAAUAAAAUACACAAUAUAGAGUCACAGACUACCUUGGUAAAGUAUUCUUUGCCUUUGAACAUCGUUAUUCAAUGACAAAUUGCCAUUUUAAAUUUUUUGAAUGGGCAGGGUCCCUUCAGGAGUGAACGUAGAGGGAGCAGAAGUUCAUGGAUUCUCAAUGGGAAAAAAGCUAUCACCCAAGAUAGAUCGAGACCUAAGAGAAGGUGGUCCUCUACUCUAUGAGAACAUCACAUUCGUCUACAACUCGGAGCAGCUGAACGGGACUCAGCGGGUUCUCCUGGAUAACGUCCUGUCGGAAGAACAGUGCCGGGAGCUC
rnacentral:lncRNA from 1 species